rnacentral:tRNA from 1 species
AUUUAAAUAGCUUAAGUUUAAGAGUGUAAUAUUGAAGAUAUUAAAGUGAUCAAUUGGUCUUUAAAUA